GAUGAACGCUGGCGGCGUGCCUAAUACAUGCAGGUCGAGCGAACAGACGAGGAGCUUGCUCCUCUGACGUUAGCGGCGGACGGGUGAGUAACACGUGGAUAACCUACCUAUAAGACUGGGAUAACUUCGGGAAACCGGAGCUAAUACCGGAUAAUAUAUUGAACCGCAUGGUUCAAUAGUGAAAGACGGUUUUGCUGUCACUUAUAGAUGGAUCCGCGCCGCAUUCGCUAGUUGGUAAGGUAACGGCUUACCAAGGCAACGAUGCGUAGCCGACCUGAGAGGGUGAUCGGCCACACUGGAACUGAGACACGGUCCAGACUCCUACGGGAGGCAGCAGUAGGGAAUCUUCCGCAAUGGGCGAAAGCUUGACGGAGCAACGCCGCGUGAGUGAUGAAGGUCUUCGGAUCGUAAAACUCUGUUAUUAGGGAAGAACAAAUGUGUAAGUAACUAUGCACGUCUUGACGGUACCUAAUCAGAAAGCCACGGCUAACUACGUG
rnacentral:rRNA from 1 species